rnacentral:lncRNA from 1 species
GGGUCUGUGUGAUUUGGCUGGCUGUUUGAAGCGUGUAUCGUGGUUUCUGUUGGAAAGCGAGUUAUCCUCAGAAAGUCCACAUGGAGCCGGGAGAUAAAACACAAAACAGCCCAGGGCUACAAGUCCCCGAAGACCACGUGGCAAGAAGACUCAAGGGGCCUCCACCUGACAACCCAUUGGCAGCUGUCACUAGGCACGAGACCCCUCCCCAGUCGAACUUCGGAUGGGACUUUAAUUCUACCCAAAACUGGAUUUAAGGCCUGCCAGGAGGUGCUGACUCGUGUUGUUUCAAGGCCCUAAAUGGGUGGUCAUUUGUUAUGUGGCAAAACAUCUUUAAUACAGCGG